rnacentral:lncRNA from 1 species
UCCAAGUAGGCUAGGCUUAUGUUCCUAAUAGAAUAGGAUAAAUUAUAGUAUAAAUAUUAUAUUAUUAUAGUUUUUGGAUGGGAAAUAGUUCUCGGAGUUAUGUUUAGUAUGAUUGGGGAUGUUUUAGCCUAUUAAGGAAUUAAAAUUAGGGAUAAUUUACUUAAUUAUUCUUUCUUUGGUUAGAAUUGCUUUCCUAAGACUAAAAUAUGGAUUAUUUAAA